rnacentral:misc_RNA from 1 species
UCGUAGGGCUUCGGCCCUGUCGAGAUAGAACCCUUGCCUUUUUGAGUACCUUUCCGUUUCCUCGGCGGGCUCGCCCGCCAAUGGGGACCACAAAAAACACUUUGCAGUACCUGUAACCGUCUGAGAAAACAAACAAAAAUUA